rnacentral:rRNA from 1 species
GACGAACGCUGGCGGCGUGCUUAACACAUGCAAGUCGAACGGUAAGACCCUGCUUUUGUGGGGUGCUCGAGUGGCGAACGGGUGAGUAACACGUGAGUAACCUGCCCUUGACUUUGGGAUAACUUCAGGAAACUGGGGCUAAUACCGGAUAGGAGCUCCUGCUGCAUGGCGGGGGUUGGAAAGUUUCGGCGGUUGGGGAUGGACUCGCGGCUUAUCAGCUUGUUGGUGGGGUAGUGGCUUACCAAGGCUUUGACGGGUAGCCGGCCUGAGAGGGUGACCGGCCACAUUGGGACUGAGAUACGGCCCAGACUCCUACGGGAGGCAGCAGUGGGGAAUAUUGCACAAUGGGCGGAAGCCUGAUGCAGCAACGCCGCGUGCGGGAUGACGGCCUUCGGGCUGUAAACCGCUUUCGCCUGUGACGAAGCGUGAGUGACGGUAAUGGGUAAAGAAGCACCGGCUAACUACGU